CUACAGGCUUAACACAUGCAAGUCGAGGGGAAACUGACAUCGAAAGCUUGCUUUUGAUGGGCGUCGACCGGCGCACGGGUGAGUAACGCGUAUCCAACCUGCCCCACGGUGAGGGAUAACCCGCGGAAACGCGGCCUAAUACCUCAUGGUCUCCGAGCUUGCCAUCAACCUUGGAGUAAAGAUUCAUUGCCGUGGGAUGGGGAUGCGUCUGAUUAGCUUGUUGGCGGGGCAACGGCCCACCAAGGCAACGAUCAGUAGGGGUUCUGAGAGGAAAGCCCCCCACAUUGGAACUGAGACACGGUCCAAACUCCUACGGGAGGCAGCAGUGAGGAAUAUUGGUCAAUGGGCGAGAGCCUGAACCAGCCAAGUAGCGUGCAGGAUGACGGCUCUAUGGGUUGUAAACUGCUUUUAUAAGGGAAUAAAGUGAGUCUCGUGAGACUUUUUGCAUGUACCUUAUGAAUAAGGACCGGCUAAUUCCGUGCCAGCAGCCGCGGUAAUACGGAAGGUCCGGGCGUUAUCCGGAUUUAUUGGGUUUAAAGGGAGCGUAGGCCGGAGAUUAAGCGUGUUGUGAAAUGUAGAGGCUCAACCUCUGCACUGCAGCGCGAACUGGUCUUCUUGAGUACGCACAACGUGGGCGGAAUUCGUGGUGUAGCGGUGAAAUGCUUAGAUAUCACGAAGAACUCCGAUUGCGAAGGCAGCUCACGGGAGCGCAACUGACGCUGAAGCUCGAAAGUGCGGGGAGCAAAUAGGAUUAGAUACCCUAGUAGUCCACGCCGUAAACGAUCGAUACUAAGUGUCGGGAGUCAUAUCCCGGUGCUGCAGUCAACGCAAUAAGUAUCGCGCCUGAGUAGUACGUUCGCAAGAAUGAAACUCAAAGGAAUUGACGGGGGCCCGCACAAGCGGUGGAGCAUGUGGUUUAAUUCGAAGCAACGCGAAGAACCUUACCAGGUCUUGACAUCGAUCUAAAAGGGAGAGAGAUCUCCUCAUAGCUAUAGAGAAGACAGGUGGUGCAUGGUUGUCGUCAGCUCGUGUCGUGAGAUGUUGGGUUAAGUCCCGCAACGAGCGCAACCCCUGUCGCCAGUUGCCAGCAUUGAGUUGGGGACUCUGGCGAGACUGCCUCUGCAAGGAGGAGGAAGGCGGGGAUGACGUCAAAUCAUCAUGCCCCUUAUGACCUGGGCCACACACGUGCUACAAUGGACGGAGCAGAGGGAAGCGAGACCGCGAGGUUGAGCAGAGCCCAGAAACCCGUUCUCAGUUCGGACUGCAGUCUGCAACUCGACUGCACGAAGCUGGAAUCGCUAGUAAUCGAGGAUCGGCAUGCCGCGGUGAAUACGUUCUCGG
rnacentral:rRNA from 1 species